GCAUAUCAAUAAGCGGAGGAAAAGAAACCAACAGGGAUUGCCUCAGUAACGGCGAGUGAAGCGGCAAAAGCUCAAAUUUGAAAUCCCGCGGGAGUUGUAAUUUGAAGACCCGGUGUUUGGUGCGGGCCUGCUCCAAGUCCAUUGGAACAUGGCGCCUGGGAGGGUGAGAGCCCCGUCCGAGCUGCGCCCGCGCCGCUACAGCACCGCGUCGACGAGUCGAGUUGUUUGGGAAUGCAGCUCUAAGUGGGUGGUAAAUUCCAUCUAAAGCUAAAUACCGGCGAGAGACCGAUAGCGAACAAGUACAGUGAUGGAAAGAUGAAAAGCACUUUGAAAAGAGAGUGAAACAGUACGUGAAAUUGUUGAAAGGGAAGGGCUUGCAAGCAGACACGGGUUCGCCCGGGCCAGCAUCGGUUGAUCGGGGCAGACAAGACCGCGGGCAUGUAGCAGUUCUUCUGUGUUAUAGCCCGCGCGGAUGUGCCCACCUUCGACCGAGGCCUGCGAUUCGUCUAGGAUGCUGGCGUAAUGGUUGCAAGCCGCCCGUCUUGAAACACGGACCAAGGAGUCUAACGUCUAUGCGAGUGUUUGGGUGGCAAACCCCAGCGCGGAAUGAAAGUAAGAGGUUGGAGCCGCAAGGCGCACAAUCGACCGACCCUGAA
rnacentral:rRNA from 1 species